rnacentral:rRNA from 1 species
GCAAGUUGAGCGGUAAGGCCCCUUCGGGGGUACACGAGCAGGGAACGGGUGAGUAUCGCGUGGGUAAUCUACCUUGAGGUGGGUGAUAGCCUCGGGAAACCGAGGGUAAUACCGCAUACGUCCUUAACGUCAUAAGGCGACGAGGGGAAAGGCGGGGAUCCUUCGGGACCUGUCGGCGCUGGAUGAGCCCGCGUCCGAUUAGCUUGUUGGUGAGGUAAUGGCUCACCAAGGCGUCGAUCGGUAGCCGGCCUGAGAGGGUGAAC